rnacentral:rRNA from 1 species
UAGUUUAGUCAAUGCUCGCAAGAGUGAACUAGCUAACUGAAAUCAAUGGUGUGUCAUCAUUGAUAAGGUAAGGGAAAAGAAAUGAUAUUACCUUACUAUUAGUGUCGUCCAAAUACUCGUGCCAGAAGACUCGGUAAGGCGAGAGACGCAAACGUUAUUCGUCCUAAUCAGGCGUAAAGGGUUUGUAGGCGGCUUUAAGAAUUUAUUUAAUUUAAUAUUAUUAAGUUAAUAAGUCAAUUAAAGCUAGAAUCAAGUAGAGGUUAAUUAAAUAAUGUUUGAAAUAUGGGUUGAUAUCUUUAGAAUUCAAAUGGAAUACUAACGGCGAAGGCUUUUUUCCAAUAAUGAUUGACGCUGAGAAACUAAGGUGAGGAAAGAAAAAAGGAUUAGAGACCCUCGUAUCCCUCACAUUCAACGAUGAAUGGUAGUUACUAGUAAAAUUACUACUAGAGACGAUGUUAACACGUAAACCAUUCCGCCUUGUAAGUACGACUGCAAAGUUGAAAACAAAAAAAUUAGU